AUGUCUGAAUGUGGGCCCAGACAUGCUGUCCAGAGACAAUGUUCCCCCAGGGGAAUGGUCCCUACACUCCCAGGUAAUCCAGUUACUAUGGGACACUUUUGGCAGAAAGGAAAUCGAUCUCUUUGCGUUGCCAGAGAAUGCGCACUGCCCAGCAUUUUUCACGAAGGAGAGGGACGCGCUGGCCCAUGUAUGGCCCAGCCGCCCGCUUUAUGCAUUUCCCCCAGUCGCACUGUUACCACAGGUGAUCAAGCGAAUCAGGGAGAGCGAAUGCUCUGUACUCCUCGUGGCGCCGUUCUGGAGGAACCAGGCUUGGUUCCCAGAGCUGAUGCAGCUAGUGAGCACGACCCCAUGGCCGAUUUCGGUGAGGAGGGAUCUCCUCUCUCAGGCCAGGGGCACGAUUUGGCAUCCGUGCCCCGACUUGUGGGCCCUGCACGUCUAGGCCAUCAACAGGUACCUGCGGACCUCCCAGAGGGAGUGUUGAACACUAUUACACAGGCGAGAAUGCCUUCUACUAGAAGGCUUUACACCUCAAAGUGGUUGGUGUUUUCCGGCUGGUGCUCGGAUAAAAACAUAGACCCACAACGUUGUAGCAUUGUGGAGAUUCUCUCCUCCCUUCAGGAGCUGUUGGAGAAGGGCAGGUCCCCUUCCACUUUCAAAGUGUACGUGGCUGCCAUAGCAGCGUUUGUCAAACCUAUGCUUGACCAGCUACUGGGAAGGAACGAUCUCAUCAUUCAUUUCCUGAGAGGUGCUAGGAGAUUAAACCCUCCCCGGCCCCCUCUGGUUCCGGUCUGGGACCUCUCCACAGUCCUGGACGCUAUGAAAGGCACCCCCUUUGAACCGUUGCAGUCCGUGGGUUUGCGGUAUCUUUCAUUUAAGACUGUUUUUCUUGUGGCUCUCGCCUCAGUCAAGCGAGUGGGUGACCUGCACACACGCUCUGUGAGCGCUACGUGUAUUGAGUUUGGACCUAAUGACUCUAAAGUCAUUCUCAAACCGAGACACGGUUAUGUCCCCAAGGUUCCUUCCACGCCGUUCAGAGCACAAGUCAUUUCAUUGUCAGCUCUUCCAAGAUCUGAUAGUGAGGGCGAUGUGAACCUCCUCUGCCCGGUCAGGGCGCUGAGGGUAUAUGUCGGACGGUCUGCUGUUUUCAGACAGUCAGAGCAGCUCUUUGUUUCUUUUGGCGCCCAUACUAAGGCACUAGCCACUUCAAAACAGAGCCUUUACAGAUGGAUAGUUGAUGCUAUCGCUCUGGCUUAUGAGUCUAAGGGUCUUUGCUGCCCGUUGGGCAUCAGAGCUCAUUCCACAAGAGGCGUCGCCUCCUCUUGGGCAUGGUCUAGUGGUGUUUCACUCCAGGACAUUUGUAUGGCGGCAGGCUGGGCCUCCCCGUCUACAUUCACGAGGUUCUAUAACCUGGAAGUUCCUGCCUUGCAGGCUAAGCUGUUGUCAGUGUAG
ensembl:lncRNA